rnacentral:rRNA from 1 species
UGGGGAAUAUUGGACAAUGGGGGCAACCCUGAUCCAGCCAUGCCGCGUGUGUGAAGAAGGCCUUCGGGUUGUAAAGCACUUUAAGCGGGGAGGAAGGCCUGAUGGCUAAUAUCCAUCGGGAUUGACGUUACCCGCAGAAUAAGCACCGGCAAACUUCGUGCCAGCAGCCGCGGUAAUACGAAGGGUGCGAGCGUUAAUCGGAAUUACUGGGCGUAAAGCGCGCGUAGGUGGUUAAGUAAGCGAUCUGUGAAAGCCCCGGGCUUAACCUGGGAACUGCAGGUCGAACUGCUUGGCUAGAGUAUGGUAGAGGGGUGUGGAAUUUCCUGUGUAGCGGUGAAAUGCGUAGAUAUAGGAAGGAACAUCAGUGGCGAAGGCGACACCCUGGACCGAUACUGACACUGAGGCGCGAAAGCGUGGGUAGCGAACAGG